AAAGAACAGGGACGGCUCUCAAAGUCGCCUCCACGGAAACAGAGUGUACUACCACAACGUUCCUGGUCUUUCCAGAAGGACGGAGUGCCCAUAGAAGUGAAUAAUCCCAGGUCUACAGCACCACUGUACAGCUAACACUGCAGACUUGCUUAUUUAGGUUUCCAGGGAGCACCUGAGCAGAUCUUUCAGUAUUCGCUGCACAUCUCCUGCCUGAAACUCAAGUGCAAUGGAUGGCUCUUUCUACAGCCAUCACGAUGGGCGUUCUAACCUCACUGAACCGAUGGACACACAGGUUAUAGGUGUGAGCAUUUACUACAUAGUUUCGUUAGUCUUGUUUUGUGGAAGCUUCCUCUGUGGUUUGCCUCUCAACUGUGUGGCACUGAGACUGCUGUGGAACGAGAGGGCCUCAUCUGCUGUUCCUGUUACCUUCCCAUUAAACCUCACUGUACUAAACAUCCUGCUCACCAUCACACUCCCUUAUUACAUCUACAUUAGCUACAGUGCUUUCAGUAGCUCACCUUUCAUAUUGUACUUUGUGAUAAUCUACAUGUACAUAAUCACCAAUGACAUGUUCACCAGCUGUAUCUGCCUCAGCAAGGUUUUUUUCGUAGUCCGUCCUUUGGGGAACUU